rnacentral:misc_RNA from 1 species
CGCACAUUGCGCCCUUUGGCAUUCCGAAGGGCAUGCCCGUUCGAGCGUCAUUUCACCACUCCAGCCUCGCUGGGUAUUGGGCGUCGCGUCUGUCGCGCGCCUCGAAGUCCCCGGCCCCGAAGCCUAGUCCCCGAGCGUUGUGGUACAUUUUUUGUUUCCGCUCCAGGUGACCGGCGGCGGUGCGGCCGUUAAACCUCACACAAGGUUGACCUCGGAUCGGGUAGGGAUACCCGCUGAACUUAA